GGUACACAUUCCAGUGAAAAUCCGCGAAGUAGACGUCAUAACGACGACGAUGGGAGUAUAUAUACUUAGGUUCUCUAAAGUAAUCAAUUGUCUUUUGUGAUAACUAUAUUAUUUAUUAGGACACAAACAGGCAAAGUGAAAAUCCAUCACCUGUUCAAACAAGAACUUCCAGGCGUGGUGGUCGUGGCAGUCGUCGUGGACGUGUAGGUCGUCUGAAAUCAUAUCAACAGGCUGGAGAUCAAUACGCGAUAGGUUUAUGCGUGACCUCAAUCAUGAACGAACGGUGCAAAGUGGUUCGGGUCUUUCUCGGAGGAAAGCUUACCAAUAUGCACCACAUCUUCAAUUUCUUCAACGUUGUUUUCAGCAGCGCACGACUCAUUCAAGCACACUCCCUCCUGAAGCAGAACCUCUUGAACAUGAGGAAUCAACCGAACAAUUGUCUGGACGAUCUACCGAUCAAACUUCGUUACCAUCUCAGUCACAUGAUUCUGCUCUGAAGUCGCACGGCCGCCAAACUGAGACAUGUGCUCAGAUUGAAGAUACUCGACAGUUCAUUUCUUCUGCCUUUGACAGAGUUUUAAGUAGGCCGAGACCACUUCGAAGACCACAUAGAGUCUUUGAGGAUCUUGCACUGAUCUUCCGAGAUUGUUUAUUAAAAAUAGAGGAGGAGUAAACUCGGUAUAAGCAAGAGUUAACUACCAUGAUCAAUCAUGUCGAGGUAGUUUGUCGUCCAGAACCCCAUAAUCAGCAGUUUCUCUUAACGUUAAGUCAUUGGAUGGACAACAUGACUCCAGAGCAGAAUUGUGAUUGUCGAGUGACAUUGAUCAAAACUGUUUGGAAUAUUAAACACCCACCACCCUCUCAUUUUGGUCCUCUGGCUCAGUCGUAUCCCCCAGCCACCUUCUACCCAACAUCCAUGGUCCUCUGGCUCAGUCGUAUCCCCCAGCCACCUCCUACCCAACAUCCACUCAUACUCUGAGCCACAUAUCGCUCCCCAGUCCCAAAACUUUCAACAGUCCCAAAACUUACCCCUAUCCCAAAACUUUCAACAAUCACAAAACUUUCCCCAUUCACAAAACUUUAGCCAGUCCCAAAACUUUCCCCCAUCCAACACUUUACCUCCGUACCACAACUUCCCACCGGCCCAAAACUUAGGCACUGCACAAAACUUUCCAGCUUUCCACAACUUUCCAUCAACAUCCCACAACUUUAUUCCAUCCCAAAGCCACCCACCGUCCCAAAGACAACCUACGUCCCACCAAUACCCAACGUCUCACACAUUUCCACCUUCUCAAAGCCAUAGCACAUCCCUCAGAUAUCAACCUGCAUCAACCUUUCAAGAGACUUUAAGCCAAUCUCAAUCACAGCUACCUUCCUAUGUCUCUGCACAAACACCUUUGCAAUACAAAAGCACUGGUAGUUCUCAAACACGUCUACAUAAUACCCCUUUCUCAAACAAAUCUGUUCCAUACCAAUCUGGUACUGAUUCAUAUUCUCUUCAUACUCCACAACAUCAACAACAGGGUGAAUAUGUCAGACCGCAACAGUCGUUCAUGCAAUCACUCCUAGACCAAAGUGCAGAAGAUGAUGGGUCCCCAACUGCAGCCCCAGGAAAGGCUCCAUUCACUCAACCACCACCCUAGUUAACACA